rnacentral:lncRNA from 1 species
GUCAUGAAAGUCCAGGUGCAGUAGGUUUCCUGGUGUGAUGCUUCAAAGUUAUCUUCUUACCUGGAGCCCCUUCCAGCUGCAGACUUCAGAGGUCGGAGGUUAAUCAAUCUGGAAUGACCCCACAGCCCACCCAGCUCCAGCUCGGGAUUCACUCCUGCACUAUGUCCUAGGGAUUCUGGAGCCAACAAGAUCGAACUUCGGGCACAGAUGGCAGGGCUGUGGGGUCCAGCUUGGCUGCAAGCUCCGAACACUGAUGCAAUCUCUCUGAGGGUGAUCUGGCAAUUCAGAAGUCAUAAAAAUGAUAGUGCCCUAUGACCACUUCUACCACUCUGGGGAAUUGAGUUCAAGGAAAGCUUAAGAAGACAAAAAGCAAGUUAUGCAAAUAUGUUUUCUGCUGUGGUGUGGUAAAGUUUAAUCCCCCAGCUGUGGUGCACACCUGGCAAAGAAUGGAGGCGCUGACACUUAUUGAUCAUUACUUGCAGUGUACACGUAUUAACUCCUGAUCCCUGCAAAUAGCCUGCUAUUACCCCCGCUUGACAAUGGAGAAGUUAUCUUACCCAAAUGUCAUUUCCUCUUCCUGGGAGCCG